rnacentral:rRNA from 1 species
UAAGGAAUAUUGGUCAAUGGGCGCAAGCCUGAACCAGCCAUGCCGCGUGCAGGAAGACGGCCCUAUGGGUUGUAAACUGCUUUUGUCAGGGAAUAAACCUUUGUACGAGUACAGAGCUGAAGGUACCUGAAGAAUAAGCAUCGGCUAACUCCGUGCCAGCAGCCGCGGUAAUACGGAGGAUGCAAGCGUUAUCCGGAUUCAUUGGGUUUAAAGGGUGCGCAGGCGGAUUGGUAAGUCAGGGGUGAAAUCCCACAGCUCAACUGUGGAACUGCCCUUGAUACUGUCAGUCUGGAGUAUAGUUGAAGUUGGCGGAAUGUGUCAUGUAGCGGUGAAAUGCUUAGAUAUGACACAGAACACCGAUUGCGAAGGCAGCUUACUAAGGGUUUACUGACGCUGAGGCACGAAAGCGUGGGGAGCAAACA